UUUGCAGGCUUUUAAAGGGGUUAUGAAAUAGUCUUCAGACUUCGGCCAACUUUUGUUACUGCCAAUUCCCUGGAGAAACUCGGAAGUCCGUGAAAGAAUACCUGUAAAGGAAGUGCAGCAAUGCUUCCCACACUCGAAACAAAGCCCCCAACACACA